CCUACCGGAGGCAGCAGUGGGGAAUUUUGGACAAUGGGGGCAAGCCUGAUCCAGCAAUGCCGCGUGGGUGAAGAAGGCCUUCGGGUUGUAAAGCUAUUUUGUCUGGGAAGAAGUAGAAGUAGUUAAUACCGUGGGGUAAUGACGGUACUGAAGAAUAAGCACAUGCUACUUUG
rnacentral:rRNA from 1 species